rnacentral:lncRNA from 1 species
GAUUAAAAGAAAACUAUGAAGGUAAAAGGAGGCCACUGUAAACAAACCCAACUCCCUUCUCCAGAACAGAUGUAACCUGUGCAGGGGCUGCCAAGGGCCCCGGCAUACAAGACUUUCCAGCAGAGUAGACAGAACCUUCAGUGACUCUUGACCUUGAGGUCUUUCUUCAUUUUGGGAACUCCAUUGGUCAGUUCCCCUUCUUGGGAAACCUCCGUGAUAGCCAUGUUGACACCUUUGAGGCCUCCCCCUGCCCCAUGUUGUUACUGCAGAUUAGCUUGGUUGCAUUAACACUGCUCAGAAUGUACAGUAGCUGCCAACCUUUAGGCUGAAGGAACCAGCUCAAGGCUUUGCCCCCCCCCCUCCCGUUGGGUUCUGCGAUGGGUCGCUUAGAUGACCAGGCCAAGAAGCGGAUUGUGGAGUUGCGCAAAGCCGGUUUGAGUUUCCGCAAGAUCAAAAAGGUGCUGGAGGUGGACAAUAUCCGCGUCACGCCGCAAGCUAUCUACCUGUUCUUGAAGCGCAAGAAUGUCCAGCCCAGCGCCCCCUCGUCCGGUUCCGAUCCUCCGCCAGGCCUCAAGAAAGGAAGCAGAGAUGCUGUCUUAGAUCAGGUCAGCUGGGAGGAGGAGGAGGAGGAUCAGUGCUGGAAGCUGCCCCCGGAAAAUGAAGCUGGGCACGCCAGGCAAAGAGAGGAUGAUGUCUCCGCGGCAGGAGUCAGCCUGAGCUGUGAGAUGCCACUUUGGCAUGACAGCCGAGGUGAUGAGGAAGGCAUCAGAAUCGUUGGGGUGGCUUCCUUGAACCAAGACGAAGGGCAGUUUGGAAGGCAGAGCGCUACACGUGGAGGCUUCUCCAAGGGAUCGCAACCAGGCUCAAAUACUGGUGGCAGCUGCCCAGUGCGAAAGGACUCGGGCAGCGACUUUGCUCCUGUUGCACCUGCAGGCGCUCAGCCGAACAUGAAUGGCAAAGGAACGCUGUUUCUGCCACCUGCCAGGAAUCCUGCCUUGAUCUGGAAGAGAAAGAUAGUAGGCCGGGCCAUCCAUCUGCAGAAAAAGGCAAGUGGGCACGCUCCGUCCAGUUCUCCUCUCAGCCUGCCUUCGGCGCCGAGGGUGCAGCCAGCGGCUCCUCGUUCCAGGGCGACUGUGCCUGCGACGACAGCAUCGCUUGGCUGCGGCGCGCAAAGCAAAGACGCGAGCGCUCAGACGUCCGCGUGGAUCCCCACCUGCUCUACAGGCCACCCCAGCGCUCAGUGGGGAAGUCCGGUGGCCGUCCCUUCGCUCUCCCCUGCCAGCCCUCAUCCUUUCGCAGAGAAACUGGAUGCCGUGCACGCUGAGGUCCAGAAGCUCACGCAAGCUGUGCAUAUGGUGUUGGAGCGCCAGUGUCAGCUCGAGCGCCAACAGGAGCAGCAGCAGCGUUUCCAGCAGGAGGUGCUCGUGACGUUGCAGCAGCUGAGCUCCAUGAUCAGCCACCUGGCCGUGCCAAACAACGUCACGUGUGCCCCUUACAGCAGUAUAUCUGAACCAUCUCCUCCUUUGCCAAACUUCAGCCAGUUCAAGAUGGAAUUUAUCUGAUUAUUUGGCUAGAGCCGUGGAGAACGCAAAGGGGCCCUUGGAGUGGUCCAUAGUUACCUCCUGGUGGGUGCACUCUGGCCAUGCCUAGAGGAGAUGCUGCUCCAGGAUCUACUCUAAGCCCACCCCAAUUCUGCUAAAAUAAGUUGUCUUCCAGCCUCUGGCCUGGUUGGAUGCUCUAUAACUCAAGCAGGGAAGUAGGGAAUGAUGUGCAAGCUUGAACUUACUUGCGCAUCACCUGUGUCUUAGAGGGGAUAUUUUACACAUAUUACAAGGGAGGCUUUUAGUUGCAUUGUAGUGAAUACGGGACAGGGAGCAAAGCAACAGAGCUAAUGCCAGCUUCCAAAAGGAGAGCAGUCGCCCUCUGGUCCAAAGUGGGCAGAAACGUGCCUUUGUAAGAGUGAACUCUUGUCGGACGAGUCCUCUUGACAGUGUGAUGGAAGAGUUAGAAUAUUGGACUUUGGAGACCCGUGUGCGGGUUCUAAUUAAACCAUGACAUUCACGGUUUUUCAGGCAAUCCUACAGGGAUGUAAAGUCAGGAGGAGGGCCAUCAGCAGAUUGAAGGAAAGGUGGACUAUGACCCUUGCUGCUCCAGUUUGCCCAUUGGAGCGCUGGGUUUCUUCACCCACCUGCAUACCUGGAAGGUUAUGUUAGCUUUGUUUUGCAUCUAAAGGAAAGGUGUGAAGGCAGGGAAACAUUGUCAUCAGCAUCAUUUUGUAAGCACUGUUUUGCAGGGCAGUGAGAAAAGCAGGCUAAAACCCCUGUGAUGAUGAUGAGUCCCCCCUCCAGAUCCCCAAGGGAACGGCAGGUAUAGCUGUGGACUCGUUCUUUUGCUGGAGAUUGUGCAAACAUUCGGAUCUUUCUUUCUCAGGGCUUGAGAUUCCACCACUCGCAAUAAAUUGUCUGUUUGUAUACA